rnacentral:rRNA from 1 species
GACGAACGCUGGCGGCGUGCUUAACACAUGCAAGUCGAACGAAGUGGCGAACGGGUGAGUAACGCGUAAUCAACCUGCCCUUCAGAGGGGGACAACAGUUGGAAACGACUGCUAAUACCGCAUACUGAAGGAGGGGAUUGCGUCUGAUUGGCUGGUUGGAGGGGUAACGGCCCACCAAGGCGGAGAUUAGUAGGCGGGCUGAGAGGAUGAACGGCCACAGUGGGACUGGGAAACGGCCCAGACUCCUACGGGAGGCAGCAGUGGGGGAUCUUCCGCAAUGGAGGAAAGGCUGACGGAGCAAAGCCGCGUGAGUGAUGACGGCCUUCGGGUUGGAAAGCUCUGUUAAUCGGGACGCGGUACCGGAAUAGAAAGCCACGGCUAACUACGUGCCAGCAGCCGCGGUAAUUC